rnacentral:rRNA from 1 species
AUGCGAUACGUAAUGCGAAUUGCAAGACCUCGUGAAUCAUCAAGAUUUUGAACGCACAUUGCGCUUUCGGGUAUUCCCGGUAGCAUGCUUGUCUGAGUGUCUGUGGA